rnacentral:rRNA from 1 species
CGAUGAACACUAGGUGUCGGGGGAAUCGACCCCUCCGGUGUCGUAGCCAACGCGUUAAGUGUUCCGCCUGGGGAGUACGCACGCAAGUGUGAAACUCAAAGGAAUUGACGGGGGCCCGCACAAGCGGUGGAGUAUGUGGUUUAAUUCGAUGCAACGCGAAGAACCUUACCAGGAUUUGACAUCCUGCGAAUCUCUUGGAAACUUGAGAGUGCCUUCGGGAGCGCAGUGACAGGUGGUGCAUGGCUGUCGUCAGCUCGUGUCGUGAGAUGUUGGGUUAAGUCCCGCAACGAGCGCAACCCUCGUCGUAUGUUGCCAGCAUUAAGUUGGGGACUCAUACGAGACUGCCGGGGUCAACUCGGAGGAAGGUGGGGAUGACGUCAAGUCAUCAUGCCCCUUAUGUCUAGGGCUGCACGCAUGCUACAAUGGCUGGUACAAAGGGCUGCAAAACCGCAAGGUAGAGCGAAUCCCAAAAAGCCAGUCUCAGUUCGGAUUGGGGUCUGCAACUCGACCCCAUGAAGUCGGAGUCGCUAGUAAUCGCAGAUCAGCAACGCUGCGGUGAAUACGUUCCCGGGCCUUGUACACACCGCCCGUCACGUCACGAAAGUCGGCAACACCCGAAGCCAGUGGCCUAACCCGCAAGGGAAGGAGCUGUCGAAGGUGGGGCUGGUGAUUGGGACGAAGUCGUAACAAGGUAACC